rnacentral:lncRNA from 1 species
AGUUAGAUCAGGCUGGAUAUUCCUCCUCCACUCAGAUCAGGCUGGAUAUUCCUCCUCACUCAGUUAGAUCAGGCGGAUAUUCCCCCUCCACUCAGUUAGACAGGCGGAUAUUCUCCUCCACUCAGAUCAGGCUGGAUACCCCUCCACUCAGUUAGAUCAGGCGGAUAUCCCUCCUCCACUCAGUCAGAUCAGGCUGGAUAUUCCUCCUCCCUCAAUCAGAUCAGGCUGGAUAUUCCUCCCCACAGUUAGAUCAGGCUGGAUAUUCCUCCUCCACUCAGAUCAGGCUGGAUAUUCCUCCUCCACUCAGAUCAGGCUGGAUAUUCCCCUCCACUCAGAUCAGGCGGGAUAUUCCCCCUCCACUCAGUUAGAUCAGGCUGGAAUUCCCCUCACCAGUUAUCAGGCUGAUUCCUCUCCACUCGAAUCAGGCAGGAUAUUCCCCCCCCACCAGUCAAUCAGCAGCUGGAUAUCCUCCUCCUCCCCUCAGAUCAGGCUGGAUAUUCCUCCUCCACUCAGUUAGAACAGGCUGGAUAUUCCCCCUCCACCAGUUAGAUCAGCAGGAUAUUCCUCCUCCACUCAGUUA